GCAGCUGCCCAUCUGCUGGAACCUGCUGGUGCUCUUAAACACGCAGCUGUGUGCACAUAUUCAGGGAGGCAUGUCCUGCUUGGCCAGCGAGGCUCAUGCAAACGUUCAGAGGGCGAAUGCAUGCUUGUGAUUGGAGGAGAGUAUUUUCCAUAGAGUCCAGUUAGCCCCACCUCGACCAACGAACACGUUCAUUAAAUUGUUCAAUUAUUUCAUCAUCACUAGGUCAGAAUAGCGUUAGGGCAACACUGUAAUAACGUUUGUACUCGUUAGUAUUAAACCAUGUAGAAUGAGUUGUUUUGACCUGCUGUCAUUCUGAUAUUACUGUUUGGGUUAAGAUUACUUUUAUUCAACAUUAUAUAUUUUGACACAGUUUCAACACAAUAAGCUUCGGUUUGACCUUAAACUGUCCCAAAUGUAUUGCUAGCUGUACAAAAUGAUUUAAAACUGCAAAGGAUUAACACAAUAACAAUCAGGGAGAAAUGAUGAAGUUCAGAAAGAGGAAGUGUUCAGUAGAUUGUAAGAGUUAAAGUUCAUACCGUAGUUCAUGUAAACUUCAAAGCCAUUCAUUUUUCGUUUGUUUCUUCUGUUGUGUUGCAGUUCAGUCUGAGUCUGCCUUACAAAGAGGAGAACAUCAUCUCCUACCUGGAGCCAGGUGUGGAGUACUGUGUGACAGUCUCUGUGACAUCACUCAUCAGCCUGAACUGUAUCUCCAGUAAACCUUGCUGUGCCUUCACCAGCCCUCCUCGGUCCAGAAGCUCACUGUACGUGGUCUUCAGCCUGCUGGGUGCGUUCUGUGCACUGGGCUUCCUCCUCGUUGGACUGGUUGUCCGCGGCGGUCAGCCGAGCUUUAAAUUACUAAGAACACCUCCACAGAGAACUCUGUCGUACAUCCUUCUCCAAUGCCGGCAUCGUGGAAGUGCACCCAUUGUCCCAUGAGAUCUCUGCUGACUGCCAACAGGCUGCUUCAGCCACCACAGAGCUGCUCUGAAGGGGGAGAGGAAGACUGUGGAGCGGCAGUGAAAUCCAAUGUUUAAAGUGUGGGGGGGGCCUAAAGACAAGAGGAGCUCGUUUAGGUGGAGUUGAUAAGGUCGACUGGUUUUGAGAAAAGGCAGACGUUGAGGGUAAAGUUUAUGGUUUACUAUCAGAGUGAGAUGUUUUUGUAAAUUGUUAUAAUUCUGUUUCUAUGUCGAUAUUUAGAAUUUCCUCUGACUCUUCUUCUGACUUUCUAUAUUAGUUUGAGGUAGAUUAAAGUUGCUCUGUUUUAUAAUCCAGAGAAUAACUGUGUAAACAGUCAACUUUAGGAAAACCUUAACUAAUGCAUGAGACCUGACCUGAGCAAACAAGUCGUAUAUGAAUAAGCAUAAAGCUUCAGCAUGGUUAACACCUUAGAUUGAGUAUAUCACUGUUUGUGUUUUAUUACUGUAACGUAGUAGCCUAUCUUUACUUAAACGCUGCCCUCUUUCCUCGAUGACUCUUUAUGCUGUUAUCAUACUUACUAGGAAGCAGUUGUUGUUCUGCCGUGCUGAUGGUGGCGAUGGCGUUCUGUACGGUGCUGCACCAAUGAGCUCAAGAUAUAAAAACAUCCGGUGAAUAAAGCAUGGUGAACAUGGCUCAAAAGAAGAGUUUUAGUGUUACUUGUAUUUAACUUAUUUUCAUGUUCAUACAUGCAUUUUGUUUUCUACCAGAACAUAAGAAACAUGACGUUCCACCACAUAAUGUGUUAAAUGACUUGUCGGACCGCUGAUACAAUACCAAUGGAAUGACAGUUAGGAUCCUGUUUUGUGGACUCACACAUUUUAAUAUGCUUGUGAAUAUGCAACGGUCAGAGCUAGUGACAGUGAGGACGUGCCAUAUUUAUGCUGUGACAUGUUUGACAGAUUGUGACACUGAGCUAUAAACCGUGAGAAAGACUUCUUCCGGUGGGAGGGGAGGUCUCUGGUGGGAGGGGAGGUCUCUGGGUCAAACAAACAGGACUUUCAACCAUGAGACCAGUUUGUGUCCACAAAGCUGUUGAGUUAUCGGGAAGUUAUAUUUGUGACGUUUUUCCUUAACCAUGGUUCAGUUACCUACAACUUCAUUUACAUGAUUCUUCUAACGUGAUGUUUCUCUAACUACUAAGCGUAACCUCGGUAAGUGGUUUGUUGCCUCAACCUUUGCCGACGUAUUUCAUUUAAGGCUAACUGUGAAGUUUCCCUUAUUAACCUAAUUCAGUGCUUUUGUUGCCUAAACGUUAAAUUGUUUCCGUGGUGCCGACACGUCAUUUAUACACAUUACAUGCCGCCACCACAUAAGGUGCUGCUAAUGGAGCAGUGUGUCGGACAUUGAGGCAUGUAAUGGUGAGGUAGCAGAUUG